rnacentral:tRNA from 1 species
CGCGGGAUGGAGCAGUCUAGCUCGUCGGGCUCAUAACCCGAAGGUCGUCGGUUCAAAUCCGGCUCCCGCAACCA